GUGAAGGGCUGUGUCCUACACUAAUUUUUCUCCUUAUUUAGAGUGGUGAUAGUUACUGAGGUGAGGGAAUCAGGAUAUUUCUGCACUGACAGCAUACAACCAGCAGAAGGAACAGGUGGAGAACAUUGCUCGAAGCAAUGUGCCAUGGGACUGUUGGUGCAUUGGGAAGCCUAGCUCAGAGGAGGGAAUUGCACUGUGAGUAUUAGGAUGGUUUUACUUCACAAUCAAGAAAUACAGGCUGAAAUCCUAUACUCACAGGGAAAAAAAAUGCCAUAAUUGCAAAGCAGUAAAUUUUAUUGUGAAAACAAGGAGCUGUACACACUGAAAUGCCACU
rnacentral:lncRNA from 1 species